CCUACGGGAGGCAGCAGUGAGGAAUCUUGCGCAAUGGGGGAAACCCUGACGCAGCAACGCCGUGUGAGUGAUGAAGGCCCUCGGGUCGUAAAGCUCUGUUCGAAGGAAAGAAUGGUAUUUGACUAAUACUCAAAUAAUUUGACGGUACCUUCAGAGGAAGCACCGGCUAACUCCGUGCCAGCAGCCGCGGUAAU
rnacentral:rRNA from 1 species